CUUCACAAGCAGACAAUUAGGCAGGUUUGAGAUUAUUUCAAUAUGUCGCUCGUGUUCAGACCGGAGGACAACACGACAACAUUAUUCUUUAAAGCAGGACAACAUUAUAUUCCUCAUUACAGGACAACAUUAUAUUCCUCAUUACAGGACAACACGCCGACAUUAUUCAUCAUGGCAGGAAUAUAUGAAGCAGGGUUAGCGGCGUCAGGACAGUGCUUCUCCUGUUUCCCGUGAACGAGCAGUGUGCCUCGACUUCCUUCUGGAUUCCAGACUGCCUCCCUUGAUCCUCGACCCCUGCUUGGACACGGAAUCGGGGCUUCUCUCCAGCCCCAAUUCUUGCUGUUAUGUCGUCUCCUUCCCCCGCCGUACGUAACUCUUGUGUGCAUUAUCCUUUCCAUCCUUAGUAACUGAGUCACUUUGUGGAACAAUCAAUAGUUUGUCCAAGUCUAAAUUGUGAAUUGUGUUAGCUUUUGCGGGAGAAUAUAAGUCAAUACUACCAUGCUUUUAUUUUGAAGCUUACUUUGCACUGAACAGGAAGUCACUGUGUGCACACUUUACAAUUAGUAACCAGAUGACAUAAAGCAUAUUGUCGGCUAAUUACAAUGUGAGUGUGAUUGUGAUCUCAAUGUCUGCUUUUGGUUGAUAAAAUCCCAAAAAAGAA